rnacentral:rRNA from 1 species
AUUGAACGCUGGCGGCAGGCCUAACACAUGCAAGUCGAACGAGUGGCGGACGGGUGAGUAAUGUCUGGGAAACUGCCUGAUGGAGGGGGAUAACUUCUGGAAACGGUAGCUAAUACCGCAUACCAUCGGAUGUGCCCAGAUGGGAUUAGCUAGUAGGUGGGGUAACGGCUCACCUAGGCGACGAUCCCUAGCUGGUCUGAGAGGAUGACCAGCCACACUGGAACUGAGACACGGUCCAUACUCCUACGUGAGGCAGCAGUGGGGAAUUUUGCACAAUGGGCGCAAUCCUGAUGCAGCCAUGCCGCCUGUAUGUAGAAGGCCUUCGGGUUGUAAAGUACUUUCAGCGGGGAGGCGUUACCCGCAGAAGAAGCACCGGCCAACUCCGUGCCAGCAGCCGCGGUAAUUC